AUUGAACGCUGGCGGCAGGCCUAACACAUGCAAGUCGAGCGGAAACGAUCCUAGCUUGCUAGGAGGCGUCGAGCGGCGGACGGGUGAGUAACGCGUGAGAAUCUACCCAUGAGUGGGGGACAACCCGGGGGAAACUCGGGCUAAUACCGCAUACGCCCUACGGGGUAAAGCAGGGGACCUUCGGGCCUUGCGCUGAUGGAUGAGCUCGCGUCGGAUUAGCUUGUUGGUGAGGUAAAGGCUCACCAAGGCGACGAUCCGUAGCUGGUCUGAGAGGAUGAUCAGCCACACCGGGACUGAGACACGGCCCGGACUCCUACGGGAGGCAGCAGUGGGGAAUCUUGGACAAUGGGGGCAACCCUGAUCCAGCCAUGCCGCGUGUGUGAAGAGGGCCUUCGGGUUGUAAAGCACUUUCAGCAGGGAGGAAGGCUUACCCCUAAUACGGGUGAGUACUUGACGUUACCUGCAGAAGAAGCACCGGCUAAUUUCGUG
rnacentral:rRNA from 1 species